rnacentral:lncRNA from 1 species
GGAAACUGAGGCCUGGGGGGAGCAGUGGGAGGUGUCAAGGCCCCUCAGCUGGCAGUUAUGUGUCACAGCUGUGACCCGGUCACGGUCCCCCUGACUCCUCUGUUGUGCCCGCUUCGUGGGACGGUCGUUACUAGAUGCUGAGGAUGUCACAGUAAAUAUGACAAAGGUGGACCUCCCCGUGGACAGGAGAGUCGGGGGCAGCAAAGACUGUCAGCCAGGAUGAGGUUCAUCUCCAGUGCCGGCAACCCGACCACAGACGCUCGGACACACUCGGCCCCUGGCCAUUGACUAAGCAAGGCUGGUGUAAGAGCCUGGCCGUUUCUGCCCAGUACGGAACGACUCUUAACUGGCUGCCUUCGCUCUGGAUCUCCCUGCUGGGCUGGAGAGACUGUGGUGGACGCUGGGGUCUGAGGGCCUGCCCUGUCCCACCGGCCUCCUUCUUGCUUUCGGCUUUUUGCACUCUUCGCUCCAUCUUGGCAUCUGCUUCCCAGAGAACCCAAACUGCAACGGACGUUUAUUGUUAACUUUACACUUAAGAACUUACAUAUUUUUUCUUGUUUUGCUCUAU